UACGGAGGAUCCAAGCGUUAUCCGGAAUCAUUGGGUUUAAAGGGUCCGUAGGCGGUUUUAUAAGUCAGUGGUGAAAUCUGGUCGCUCAACGAUCAAACGGCCAUUGAUACUGUAGAACUUGAAUUAUUGGGAAGUAACUAGAAUAUGUAGUGUAGCGGUGAAAUGCUUAGAGAUUACAUGGAAUACCAAUUGCGAAGGCAGGUUACUACCAAUACAUUGACGCUGAUGGACGAAAGCGUGGGGAGCGAACAGG
rnacentral:rRNA from 2 species